GUCCCUGCCGUAAACGAUGCACACUUGGUGUAACUGGACUCAACCCCAGUUGUGCCGUAGCUAACGCGUUAAGUGUGCCGCCUGGGGAGUACGGCCGCAAGGUUGAACUCAAAGAAUUGACGGGACCCGCACAAGCAGUGGAGUAUGUGGUUUAAUUCGAUGCAACGCGCAGAACCUUACCCAGGCUUGACAUGCAGAGGACAGCGCCAGAGAUGGCGUCUCCCGCAAGGGUCUCUGCACAGGUGCUGCAUGGCUGUCGU
rnacentral:rRNA from 1 species